rnacentral:misc_RNA from 1 species
AACCUAGCACACCUGCGGUGUGUACCUGCGGAAGGAUCAUCAUCGAAUUCAUAUCCUUCUCCCACCGGAGGGGGACCUAUGAUAAACCCUUCUGUGCACCGUAAACCGUUCACUUUGGCAGGCUUUGGUGGUGAGCGUGAGCUCGUCAACCUCGCGUUCCCUCCCUAGGGGGGCUGCGCGUGGCGGCCUGCCGGAGUCCUCCAAUGAAAAACACGUUUUCGAACACGACUGAAAUUUCCU